UCCGGCUUUCACCGGCUGUCUCGUUAGAGUGCCCAGCUCUACCUGCUGGCAACUAACGAUAAGGGUUGCGCUCGUUGCGGGACUGAACCCAACAUCUCACGACACGAGCUGACGACAACCAUGCACCACCUGUCUCCACUGUCCCGAAGGAACGGUGUAUCUCUACACCUGUCAGCGGGAUGUCAAGCCCUGGUAAGGUUCUUCGCGUUGCUUCGAAUUAAACCACAUGCUCCACCGCUUGUGCGGGCCCCCGUCAAUUCCUUUGAGUUUCAGCCUUGCGGCCGUACUCCCCAGGCGGAGUGCUUAUUGGGUUUCCUUCGGCACUGAGGGUGGUACCCCCCAACACCUAGCACUCAUCGUUUACGGCGUGGACUAC
rnacentral:misc_RNA from 1 species